GGAGGAAUUGAUCCCGAGCACACAGGCUCUCGGAAUCUGUCUCGCCCAAUAUAACGUCGUGAUUCGUUUUGUGUAAGAGAUGGGGCCGGUGUCAGGAGCAUCAGACAGCGUUUCAGGAGCAUCAGACAGCGUGGAAAUGAGUAGGAAAAGGAGAAAAAUCUCCUGGCCGGUGGACCUGAAGUGCGUGGUUAUUCGAGGCCGUGGAGAUUGGGCGUCAGAGCCGUGGCUCGAGACCUGCGCGAAAUUCUGGUCCGUGAUUCAAGCGUGGAAACGACGUCAUUGUGUUGCAGCAAAUGCAAACGUGGGGUAGGUGGAUCGAGCUGCCUCAUACCUCCACCAUCUCCUGGUCUGGUCUGGUAUUAUCGAGAACGGCUCGGCGGCGGCGGCUCCAUCCCUUAGGGUUGCGGUGAGGCAGCUCCGACGGCCAUGGAGUUCUUGAUGCAGCCAGUCAACAGUAGAACUUUUGAUAGAGGAAGUGAAUGACAGCGACAUACCUAUGGAGCCUCUUAGCCAUCCGGUUCUAUCGAUGCCGGGCGGGGAGUUGCCGGCAGCCAGUGCAACAGGUGCAGAUGCGCUCAUCUGCUCGGCGACUGCUGUGGGAACAGGCGAGGGUGCAGACCGGCCACAAGCAUCUGAACACUCAAUAGAACAAGUUGAUCCAUAGGCUCCGGGAUGGACACAGAGGGUCCAGGUGAGAAUGUCAUUGUGCCAAAAAUAGGGAUCAGCUUCGAUACACUUGGAGAGGCAUACGAUUUUUACAAUUUGUACUCCUGGGAGAAAGGACUUGGAAUCAGAUAUGGGAAGAGCAGACUAAAUGUCAACAGGACAAAGUGCAAGAAGUGUGGUGUUGAAGGGCACCGCAGGAACAACUGCCACAAAGCGGCUGAGCUGAGGCUUAAGAUGUGAUCGUAUGAGCCUUUGUACAAUGUUAAUCUAGACAUUGUUCUGUAUUUUUAUGGAUCAGAAUGGUUUCUCCAUCUCUGCAUUAACCAGCUCUAAAGAUUGCUCUCUUGCCCGUGUCGUUCCUGUUCAGGAAGAUGCAGAUUCGGAGCCUUCGGUGAAUCAAGGAGCAGAAUCCCAGCUCAGCGAACCUGACGCUUCAAUUGUUUCUUCGGUUUCAGAGAAUGUAAGCAACUAAUUCAUUGGAUUGGACUUGCACCCGUGCUUACUGAUUAGUAUUACCUCGUAUGAUAUGAAGGCAGGGGAAGCAGGCUUAGAGACGCAUGCCGGUGAGGUAGCAGUCAUGCACCCCGCUGUUGCAGAUGCAGUAGAGGGGUGCGGCAACCAUGAUCCCGAAGCUGGUUGGAAGAUGGUCAACACUUCAGAUGCUGAGUAGGAAGGAGCCACGGGACAGGCUUCAGAAUCAGUGAUGGAGGAGGAUGCUGUUGAAGAGAGCACCGUGUCGGUUGCCAAGCGACGUAGGAUUAUGUAGGGAUCUGUAGUUAGCCACGUGUAAUAGGGGAGCAGUGCAGGCAAAGACGUCUUUGCCGUUUUAGGCUGGUCACAAUGGUCAAGAACAUAAGCUAGUAACUUACACACUUCCCUAGACUAUGUUACUAUCUCCAUAGUGGGUAGGAACAUCUAUGUAGUGUCAUGCAACUAUGUAUUUAUUAGGUUAUAGACUCAUUGUUUCUUGGAGUGUGUGAUGUUCGGGUAACUUAGCUACUCCCUCCGUUCAGGUGCAUAGGGCAUCUAACGAAAAUCAGCUAUUCCAAAUGUAUAAGUCGUGUAGCUAUUAAUUCAAUCUCGUUAUCCUCCAACGCCUCGUAUGCCUCAUAUCCAUACGCAGCCCGCUGUGAUUAA